AGAACGAACGCUGGCGGCAUGCCUAACACAUGCAAGUCGAACGCCCCGCAAGGGGAGUGGCGCACGGGUGAGUAACGCGUGGGAACCUGCCCUGGGGUGGGGGAUAACCGAUGGAAACGUCGGCUAAUACCGCAUACGUCCUGAGGGAGAAAGAUUUAUCGCCCUGGGAGGGGCCCGCGUCGGAUUAGCUAGUUGGUGGGGUAACGGCCUACCAAGGCGAUGAUCCGUAGCUGGUCUGAGAGGAUGAUCAGCCACACUGGGACUGAGACACGGCCCAGACUCCUACGGGAGGCAGCAGUGGGGAAUAUUGGACAAUGGGCGCAAGCCUGAUCCAGCAAUGCCGCGUGAGUGAUGAAGGCCUUAGGGUUGUAAAGCUCGUUUCGGCGGGGACGAUGAUGACGGUACCCGCAGAAGAGCCCCGGCUAACUCGUGCCAGCAGCCGC
rnacentral:rRNA from 1 species